UUUUUUGUAAGUUAGCUAACACAUCUUGUAAGCAUAAAUAGGUGCAGGUAUGUACAUGUAAUGUUGGAAGUAUUCGCAGAUCUUAUUGAAACUGAAUAAUUAAAUUAUUUUAUUUUAAAUAGUUUCCAAAUACCAGUUAGGAUAGGCAAUUAAGUAAUUUAUAUUGAAUUACUCUAUACUGUCUGCUGUGAGUUGCCUCCAGGGUAUCAUAUGGUUCCAUGGUACUGUAUCAUGUUGGCCUUAUGCCAGUCUUCAAUACUUGAUGGAUUUCCUUAACGUACUGGAAGGGGCAGAUUCCAGAAUUGUUCAUUAAAGUUGAGGUGCCACUGUGUAUGUAAUGUUUCAUGGAUAGCCAGCUUUUAAUUCAUGUGUUAGGAAGAGAAAUUCACUUACACUUGCUCAUUUUCACAACUUCGUUGUGGGAGGCUGAUUGGUGGCGGUACCUCUGGCUGCAAAAUGGCCAGUUAAUGUUUUCGUCGGGGUGCCACAGCGAGUCGGUACGUCGCCGAUCAAACCUCGGCACCACAGCCUCCUAACAUGCUUAAUCCAGCUCAGGCAGCUCCUCCAACAUCUUCAUACCUCCCAGCUUCUGGGCCAAAUCCAAGUAGUGUUCCUAAUCCCCCACCUUCAGGUAUGGGAGGAGCAGCACCCUUCUACCAUGGCGCUCCCCCAUCGGGGCCUGUGUACGGGGAUCCACUUCCAGCCAAGACUCCUGCAGCUCUUGAUAACACCACUCCACGAGGAUGGAAUGAUCCUCCACCAAUCUCAGGGUCACGUAAGGAUUUCGAUGGUGAUAUUAGGCUUGGUGGAGGCCAUUCGGGUGACAAGAGGUUGCUGAAACUAAAACAGGU